AGCAGUUUGUCGGAGACGAAGGAAUCUAAGGAGAUCUGGCUCCAUCUACUGGUCAUGACGGGUAUCGUCAGUGAAAUAUAAACACCGCCGCGCUGCUCAGCAUCGUGUCAGCCUCCGAAGGAUGACCUCACCCGGGACCAGGAGAGGUGGUAUCAUGACCCUACGCCACUUCAGUGGGAGUUUCAGUCCGUCUGUGCACGGCACCUUUUCAGCGGUGCGCCUUCAGCCAGAGGGGGCGCCAAUAUGCCAUUUUCCCACACAAUGUUAUGGUACUUCAUAGAAAACCGCUUCGCGUCGCGGAUGAUUAUUAUUUUUGACUGCUCCUGGCUCCCGGGCGGCUGCCCGUGCCUAAAAUGCCCACUGCCUGGUCUGACCGGGAACCAGGAGCGGAGCAGGUCUGAGCGGGUUUACUGCGUCACUCGGUUACUUUCUCUUUCAGUUUUGCCGGUUCAUUCAACGGCUCCCAGAACAGUCGGCUCACUGUGUUGAUAACGCCCCCCGCCCCGCAGCGCUACGGACACACCCACACCUCGAGCGCAUCACCGGAGAUACUGAGUUUUAUUUCAUUACUUUAAUAACCUUGACUUGUGUUGUUUGUUGCUCACAUGUUUUUGAUCUUUACAUAGUUUUGCGUCUGUUUUUACUACUGUCCUGUACUUUCGGUUAUGACACGCCAUUUACCUGUGAGGGCGUUGUUUUCCUACUAUCAUAUUCAUGAUUCACCCAAAGGCAGCUGCGGUAAGCAACCCGCGGUUCACUGGGCGGCCACACGGGGGCGCUGCGGUCCUGCUGAUCUCAGCACCAUGACCCUGUCACAACGGUAGACCAGAACACAUGGAGAGACCCUAUAUGUCCACCGACAUACUCUAUAUUUACAUGUUUAUAAACAGUAUAGCAUAUAUCGCAUAGACUACUGCAACGCCCUCCUCACCAGACUCCCCACCAAACUCAUCAACAGACUGCAGAUCAUUCAGAACUCAGCCGCCCGGAUCAUCACCCGCACCAAAUCAUCUGACCACAUCACCCCUGUCCUCAUUCAACUUCACUGGCUCCCAGUACACUACCGUAUCCAAUACAAAACCCUACUCCUCACCUACAAAGCUCUCCAUAACCUAGCCCCCAGUUAUCUCUGCGACCUCCUCCAAUAAUACACUCCCUCCCGCUCCCUCCGCUCAACCUCUGCUGGACUACUAUGUAUCCCCACAUCACGACUCACUACAAUGGGUGCCCGGUCAUUCAGCUGUUCAGCACCCAGGGAACUCCCUCCCCCCACACAUAAAAGAGUCAGACACCAUUAGGCCUACAACCUUCAAGUCACUCAAAACUCACCUGUUCAAACUCGCACACAACGUCUAACUGUAUGUUGUUCUCCCGACAGCCAACUGCGGGACAGCAACCAUCAGUCAUGGUUGGUGGUGAGAGACUUGAGGUGGUUGAAUAUUUUAAGUACCUCGGGGUCAUCUUCGAUUCUAACCUUAAUUUUAAGCAGCAUGUUAAGAAAGUUAAAAACACAAUUAAAUUUAAUUUAUCAAAUUUCAAGUAUAUAAGACCUUUCCUGACUAUGGAGACAGCAAAGACUUAUAUGCAUGCAAUGAUAUUUACUCACAUCUCGUACUGUUACACAACAUGGUCACAUACAUCUGAGAGCACUUUAAAACCAAUCAAAUCUUUAUUCAAGAGAACUCUUAAAACACUAGACAAAAACCUAUAUACUACCAUUAUUGUAAAAUUACAAAUAAACACAAAAUCAUGGACUUCGAUAGUUUUCAGCUGUUUUUGGAUGUCUGUCUAAUCUUUAAGGUUCUGAACGGUCUAGCCCCUCCACCAUUACAGAAUUUUAUAAAGAAGAAAUCCUCUACAAUAAAUACACGAGCACUAACUAGAGGUGACUGCGAAAUACAACGCCGCAAGACCAAAUUUGGUCAAAUGGUGGUGUCCAUCAGAGGAACACAGUCCUGGAAUAUAUUACCAACACAUGUUAGAGACUGUGCCACUUACACCACCUUUAAAAAGACCCUUAAACAGUGGUUAGUAGCAAGCCAGACCUGCUCUCAUAUGUAACCUUUGGUCAUUCUAAUUUUUUUACAUGGACUCUUGAUGUGAAUUGGGACCUAUUUUGUGUGUAAAAGUGUUUUUUUAAUCUAUUUUGUAUACUGGUAUGUUCAAUUAAGCUAACUCCGGCAUAUUUAUAUUGAUGCUCUGGCUGACAUAUUGAUUAAUGUG
ensembl:lncRNA